rnacentral:rRNA from 1 species
AAAGAUUAAGCCAUGCAUGUCUAAGUAUAAGCAAUUUGUACUGUGAAACUGCGAAUGGCUCAUUAAAUCAGUUAUCGUUUAUUUGAUAGUACCUUACUACAUGGAUACCUGUGGUAAUUCUAGAGCUAAUACAUGCUAAGAACCUCGACUUCGGAAGGGGUGUAUUUAUUAGAUAAAAAACCAAUGCCCUUCGGGGCUCCUUGGUGAAUCAUAAUAACUUAGCGAAUCGCAUGGCCUUGCGCCGGCGAUGGUUCAUUCAAAUUUCUGCCCUAUCAACUUUCGAUGGUAGGAUAGUGGCCUACCAUGGUGGCAACGGGUAACGGGGAAU